rnacentral:lncRNA from 1 species
UCAUAUGCACGCACUAUUCAUAUAAUACUGUUCAUGAACUGUUCACAUUACUAUUUAUAUAGGGAUUUACUAUUCAUCAUAUUUGUAAAGAGUACAAUCCACGGUGUAGGUGUAAAUUAGAGCGUAAGAAUAGGCAUAUUCAUCAUAUUUGUAAAGAGUACAAUCUACGGUGUAGGUGUAAAUUAGAGCGUAAGAAUAGUCAGUAUUGUUUUUAUAAUUACAUACUUUUCUCUUUUAUAUUUCCCCACAACCACUGGCCCUUGCCACUUCUAUAAACACUCUUCACAUCCAC